rnacentral:rRNA from 1 species
GACGAACGCUGGCGGCGUGCUUAACACAUGCAAGUCGAACGGAAAGGCCCUGCUUUUGUGGGGUGCUCGAGUGGCGAACGGGUGAGUAACACGUGAGUAAACUGCCCUUGACUGUGGGAUAAAAUCAGGAAACUGGGGCUAAUACCGGAUAGGAGCUCCUGCUGCAUGGUGGGGGUUGGAAAGUUUCGGCGGUUGGGGAUGGACUCGCGGCUUAUCAGCUUGUUGGUGGGGUAGUGGCUUACCAAGGCUUUGACGGGUAGCCGGCCUGAGAGGGUGACCGGCCACAUUGGGACUGAGAUACGGCCCAGACUCCUACGGGAGGCAGCAGUGGGAAAUUUUGCACAAUGGGCGGAAGCCUGAUGCAGCAACUCCGCGUGCGGGAUGACGGCCUUCGGGUUGUAAACCGCUUUCGCCUGUGACGAAGCGUGAGUGACGGUAAUGGGUAAAGAAGCACCGGCUAACUACGUG